UGUGUGUGUGUGUGUGUGUGUUUCCCUAGGCUAAACAUCUCUGCUUCUUUGAAUAAAUCCUCAAAUUUCUCUGUGAUCUAGUCCCUCUUCAAUGUCUCCCCUAAAAUAUUGUGUCCAGAACUUAAGACAAUAUUCCACAUGUGAUCUUGCCAGGACAAAAGACAGCAGGGUCAGCAAAUGCCUCACUGUGGCCUGAAGAUGACAUCUACUUGGCUUUCAAGUUGGAAAGGUUUCCCAAACUGUCAAGAGUUGACCUCAGGGAUCAUCUCCUUCAAGAACUCUUCCUUGAUUGCCCACUGGCCAUCCUACAGAUACUGGCAGAACAUGUAGCCUGUCCAGUUGGCUCCUCUAAUAAAAUGUAAGCCAUGAGACAACAUCCGCCUCAACGUCCCAGCCAUCUCAGCAAUGUAUCAUCCCAAGAACAAGUCUCUACAUAUGUGCUUUCUAUGCCCUGCCCCAUUCAUUUAUCCAACCACGGAGCACGCCAGAAAAAAGAAAGUGUUGACAUGUUUGUAUACCUUUUAACUCCAUUCCCUUCAAUUCUACCCAUUCAUAAAACCCAGUCAAGGGUCUAUAAAACAGGAAACAGAGCGGCUGUCUCAAGUUUUACUAAUCAUCAUAUCGAGUUUUAUCUAUCAAAUGAACUAUACUGAGUACAAACUGACACGAAAAAACGGUUAGUGUUCACUUUCAAGCCCAGAAGCAACAAAUAGUUCACUUCUAACCCAUCCCCUCCCAUCACCUUACCUCACUACAACUAUUUCCCUACCUUUGGGAUCAUUCUCAAAUAGAUCACUCAGGUAGCCUACGAGACCCAUAGUGCAGAUGUUUGCAUAGUUAAAAAACCUCAUAGUUGGCAGGAUCCUUGGGGUCGUUGAGUCCAAUUCAUACCUGAAUACGAACUCCUGUUAUAACAUCCCUCACAUGGCUAUCCACCCUCCAACAGAUUUUUUUGGGGCAGCUCAUUCCCCUUUUGAAUAGUUCUAGAUAUUCAUAUGCUUCUUUCACAAAUACCAUGGAACACCCAACAUUGAGGGAUGUCCCCGUAUGAAGCUUUUGGUCUUACAUUGAAUUGCUAGCCAGAGACAAUGUUGUAAGAAAUAAGGUGUGAAAAAUGGAAGAAUCAUGGAAUGAGAAUAAUAUGGAAAUGAGGACAGAGAUUUUCAGAUGAGCAAGGCUAGGCUUUAUGAGUAAGGGUCCACAAUAGCACUGGUUUAUAAAACAGGGCUUGACAGUUUAGUCAUCCUUAAGAUUCACCUCUUAAGUUCCAAAAGAAAUAAAAAAACAAAAACAAAAAUAAAAACAGGGUUCUUGGUUCUUUACAGAGUUUCUGAAUUUGAAAUUAAAUUCCUAAUUCAAGUUGAAAGAAAAGGAAUGAUCUUUCAUUCUAUAAAUAUUCUCCAGAACCUAGAAUCUGAUGAUGUAGUAUAUCAAGUGACAAAUUCAAGGCCCUUAAAACAGGCUAGUUGUCCAGAAUGAGCUGGAAGGGAUGGAAUGAUAGUAAUUCAGGGAGAAGAUGAAUAGGUACAUUCAUAGGGAUUCCAGAGUAGAGAGUGAGUGAUAGCAGGAGAAUAUGGACUUCUGUUAGGCAACUUGCUGAAAGGGUUACUGUACUGAAUUUAGAAUUAGGAGGAUCUAAGUUCAAAUACUAUCUCAACCACUGAUUAGCUCUGUAAUCCUGAGCAAAUUGUUAAACUCUUUUUGCUUCAUUUUCUUGAGGAUAACAAUAAUA